UACUAGAGUAGCACUCGCAUAUCAAUAAGCGGAGGAAAAGAAACUAACAAGGAUUCCCCUAGUAACGGCGAGUGAAGCGGGAAGAGCUCAAAUUUGAAAUCUUAAAGGGUUUCCCUUUACGAAUUGUAGUUUAAAGAAGUGUUUUCUGUUGAGGUUUUGGUAAAAGUUCUUUGGAAUAGGACAUCAUAGAGGGUGAGAAUCCCGUAUUUGACCUUUACUUUCAACUUUGUGAUACACUUUCAAAGAGUCGGAUUGUUUGGGAAUGCAGUCCAAAAUGGGUGGUAAAUUUCAUCUAAAGCUAAAUAUUGGCGAGAGACCGAUAGCGAACAAGUACCGUGAGGGAAAGAUGAAAAGAACUUUGAAAAGAGAGUUAAACAGUACGUGAAAUUGUCAAAAGGGGAGCGUUUGACACCAGUGUUGUUUUUCUGAAAAUCAAUUAAAGAACUGUUUAUGCUAAGCUGUUUAGACUUUAUCAGCUAUCUGUUUAGUUUUGAGCUUUUCUUUAAUGCACUUUUCAGUUAACAAGUCAACAUCAAUUUCUUUUGCUGUAAAAAAGCUUGAGGAAGGUGGCUUGAGAUUCGUCUUAAGUGUUUAUAGCCUCUUGCCUAUGCAGUCGGAGAGAUUGAGGUCUGCAGCGUAGAUCCUUCGGGGCUAAAUGCAUUUGUGCUAAGUUAUAGCAUUUUAUAGACAACUUGUUGACUAUGAUUUGUCUUGUAGCUUACUCGCUUAUGUUAUUUUACCUACGCUUAGGAUGUUGAGUCAUCACACAUCUCU
rnacentral:rRNA from 1 species